AGAGUUUGAUCCUGGCUCAGAAGGAACGCGUAGCUAUAUGCUUAACCACAUGCAAGUCGAACGUUGUUUUCGGGGAGCUGGCAGAGGAAAGAGGCCUCCUAGCCGUGAAGGUAGCUUAUACUCGCCAGAGGUGGGAACAGUGAAAACAAAGUGGCGAAACGGGUGCGUAUGCGUGGGAAAUCUGCCGAACAGUUCGGUGCAAAUCCUGAAGGAAAAGCUAAAAAGCGCUGUUGUGACUGAGGCCUGCGUAGUACUUAGGCUUAUAGUUGGUCAGGUAAAGGACUGACCAAGCCAAUGAUGCUUAGCUGGUCUUUUCGGAUGAUCAGCCAACUGGGACUGAGACACGGCCCGGACUCCCACGGGGGGCAGCAGUGGGAAUCUUGGACCAAUUGGGCGAAAAGCACCGAUCCAGCAAUAUCGCGUGAGUGAAGAAGGGCCAAAUGCCGCUUGUAAGCUCUGUCGUCGAGUGCGCGAUCAUGACAGGACUCGAGCGCAAAGAAGCCCCGGCUAACUCCGUGCCAGCAGCCGCGGUAAGACGGGAGGCAAGUGUUCUUCGGGAAUGACUGGGCCUAAAGGGCACGUAGGCGGUGAAUCGGCGUGAAAAGUGAAAUGUCGCCAAAAACUAGGUGGAAUGCUCUCGAAAACCAUUCACCUUGAGAUGAGACAGAGGAGAGUGGAAUUCUGUGUGUAGGGUGAAAUCCGCAGAUCUACGAAGGAACGCCAAAGCGAAGCAGCUUUCUCUGAGUCCCUACCCGACGACUGGAGUGCGAAAGCAUGGGGAGCGAACGGGAUUAGAUACCACUGGUAGUCCAUGCCGUAAAAACGAUGAGUGUUCGCCCUUGGUCUACGUGGAAUCAGGGGCCCAGCUAACGCGUGAAACACUCCCGCCUGGGAGUACGGUCGCAAGACCGAAACUCAAAGGAAUUGACGGGGCCUGGUCACAAGCGUGGAGCAAUGUGGUUUAAUUCGAUACAACGCGCAAACCUACCAGCCUCAGACAUAUGAACAGAAAACCUGUCCUAUAACGGGAUAGGUACUGGACUUUCUAGAUACAGGAUGCUGCAUGCUGUCGUCAGUUCUCGUGAUCGAUGAGAUGUUUGGUCAAGUACUAUAACGAGCGAAACCCUCGUUUUGUGUUGCUAGAGACAUGCGACCUAAGGAAGAAAAGUCUUUGCAAACCGAAGUGAGCUGAGGAGCCGAGUGACGCGGCCAGCGCUACUAAUGAGUGCCAGCACGUAGCUGUCUGUCAGUAGAAGGGAAGGCCGCGCCUUUUCGAAUUCGAAGGCACUUCUUAGUGUGCGCUGUUUUUCGAUUGCAGCUAGCGAGCAAGGAAAACGAUGCGCGAACGCGCUUUCGCGCAGCUCAAUCCCUUGCUUGGUUGCUUUACUAAAUAGGAAAGUUUCUCGCUUGUUAAGUAAAGUCCAGUUUUUUGGCCUCUCUUGGGCAGGGACGACGGACGGUCGAGUUUGGCGGCGGAGAGAAGGGACUCGCAUUCAAGGCGAGCCGCCCGGUGGUUGUGGUAGUAGUGGGUUUAGUUACGCCCGCCAAAACAAACGGCUCCGAAACAAACUAAGGUGCAUGCCGCACUCACGAGGACUGCCAGUAUAUACUGGCAGGAAGGUGGGGAUGACGUCAAGCCGCAUGGCCCUUAUGGGCCUGGCCACACACGUGCUACAAUGGCAAUUACAAUGGGAAGCAAGGCUGUAAGGCGGAGCGAAUCCGGAAGAUUGCCUCAGUUCGGAUUGUUCUCUGCAACUCGGGAACAUGAAGUUGGAAUCGCUAGUAAUCGCGGAUCAGCAUGCCGCGGUGAAUAUGUACCCGGGCCCUGUACACACCGCCUGUCACACCCUGGGAAUUGGUUUCGCCCGAAGCAUCGGACCAAUGAUCACCCAUGACUUCUGUGUACCCACUAGUGCCACAAAGGCUUUUUGGUGGUCUUAUUGGGCGCAUACCACGGCUGGGGUCUGUCGACUGGGGUGAAGUCGUAACAAGGUAGCCGUAGGGAACCUGUGGCUG
rnacentral:ncRNA from 1 species